GAUGAACGCUCGCUACAGGCUUAACACAUGCCAGUCGAGGGGCAGCAUGAACUUAGCUUGCUAAGUUUGAUGGCGACCGGCGCACGGGUGAGUAACACGUAUCCAACCUGCCGAUGACUCGGGGAUAGCCUUUCGAAAGAAAGAUUAAUACCCGAUGGCAUAGUUCUUCCGCAUGGUAGAACUAUUAAAGAAUUUCGGUCAUCGAUGGGGAUGCGUUCCAUUAGGUUGUUGGCGGGGUAACGGCCCACCAAGCCUUCGAUGGAUAGGGGUUCUGAGAGGAAGGUCCCCCACAUUGGAACUGAGACACGGUCCAAACUCCUACGGGAGGCAGCAGUGAGGAAUAGUGGUCAAUGGACGAGAGUCUGAACCAGCCAAGUAGCGUGAAGGAUGACUGCCCUAUGGGUUGUAAACUUCUUUUAUACGGGAAGAAAGUGAGGCACGUGUGCCUUUUUGUAUGUACCGUAAGAAUAAGGAUCGGCUAACUCCGUG
rnacentral:rRNA from 1 species